CGUAGGGAGCGAGCGUUAUCCGGAUUCAUUGGGCGUAAAGAGCGCGUAGGCGGCCUCUCAAGCGGGAUCUCUAAUCCGAGGGCUCAACCCCCGGCCGGAUCCCGAACUGGGAGGCUCGAGUUCGGUAGAGGCAGGCGGAAUUCCCGGUGUAGCGGUGGAAUGCGCAGAUAUCGGGAAGAACACCGAUGGCGAAGGCAGCCUGCUGGGCCGCAACUGACGCUGAGGCGCGAAAGCUAGGGGAGCGAACAGGAUU
rnacentral:rRNA from 1 species